rnacentral:rRNA from 1 species
UACGAAGGGGGCUAGCGUUGCUCGGAAUCACUGGGCGUAAAGGGUGCGUAGGCGGGUCUUUAAGUCAGGGGUGAAAUCCUGGAGCUCAACUCCAGAACUGCCUUUGAUACUGAAGAUCUUGAGUUCGGGAGAGGUGAGUGGAACUGCGAGUGUAGAGGUGAAAUUCGUAGAUAUUCGCAAGAACACCAGUGGCGAAGGCGGCUCACUGGUCCGGUUCUGACGCUG